UACGUAGGGUGCGAGCGUUAAUCGGAAUUACUGGGCGUAAAGCGUGCGCAGGCGGUUCGUUAAGUCAGCUGUGAAAGCCCCGGGCUCAACCUGGGAACGGCGGUUGAAACUGGCGAACUAGAAUCUGGCAGAGGGGGUAGAAUUCCACGUGUAGCAGUGAAAUGCGUAGAUAUGUGGAGGAAUACCGAUGGCGAAGGCAGCCCCUGGGAUAACACUGACGCUCAUGCACGAAAGCGUGGGGAGCAAACAGG
rnacentral:rRNA from 1 species